GCAAGUAUGCAUACUGCUAUUUUCCGUUUCUUUUUUUACUUUAGCGCCUGAACUUGGGGUGGCUUUGCGCGUAAGAAAAGAAACGAAAAGUAGCGCCUAAGCCUCCCACAGGGAGGCUUUUUUGUU
rfam:Brenneria sp. EniD312 chromosome, whole genome shotgun sequence.